CAGCAGAGUGCUGGGGGGCCUAGACUGGCUACACAGGCAGAGCUCUGCUGAUGCUGGACCAACUGCAGAACAUUUUUGCUCGAGGAGUCUAGAUCUUCCAGCUCUUUCAACAGCACCUCAUUUCAGCAAGAUGGAGCAGUGUUGGUGAACUGGAAAAGAUUUGAAUCUCAUGACUAAGUCCCAGGGCAGACGUUGUGAAAUGUAGACAUCAUCUGCAGGCGACUGGCUCACCCACACCAGAAUCCCCAGUGAGUCCUAGAGAAGUUUCAAGAGGGCUGCUGUUCCACAAGCCACUGCUCGCCGGUCCUUCUUCUUGGCUUCCUCAUAGACAUCUAAAUAUAACCGGUUCCGGACUUCAUUCUCAAGUCCAGUGCGAAGUACUGGUGGUUGAAAUCCACACACACAGAGUCACGUCUGGUCUCUCCAUGUCAACUCUACUAACCAAUGUCACCUCUGCUACUGUUUGUGAGUGUGUGCUUUGGCCUGCUGGGUGGUCCUGACCUUUCUCCUGUGCAGACCUUAGGACCCAGACUUUCUUGGUUACACAGUGAGAUGAGUGCUGACUGAUGUCCAAGUCAUAGUACAUUGGAAAGACUCCCAUUUUAGA